rnacentral:rRNA from 1 species
CCUACGGGAGGCUGCAGUGAGGAAUAUUGGUCAAUGGAUGGAAGUCUGAACCAGCCAUGCCGCGUGCAGGAAGACGGCUCUAUGAGUUGUAAACUGCUUUUGUACAAGGGUAAACCUGAAUACGUGUAUUCAGCUGAAAGUACUGUACGAAUAAGGAUCGGCUAACGCCGUGCCAGCAGCCGCGGUAAUACGGAGGAUCCAAGCGUUAUCCGGAUUUAUUGGGUUAAAGGGUGCGUAGGCGGAUUGAUAAGUUAGAGGUGAAAUGUCCGAGCUUAACUCGGGAACUGCCUCUAAUACGGUUGAGCUAGAGAGUAGAAGCGGUAGGCGGAAUGUAUGGUGUAGCGGUGAAAUGCUUAGAGAUCAUGCAGAACACCGAUUGCGAAGGCAGCUUACCAAUCUAUAUCUGACGUUGAGGCACGAAAGCGUGGGGAGCAAACAGGAUUAGAUACCCUAGUAGUC